UACGUAGGGUGCAAGCGUUGUCCGGAAUUAUUGGGCGUAAAGAGCUCGUAGGCGGUUUGUUGCGUCGGCUGUGAAAUCCCGAGGCUCAACCUCGGGUCUGCAGUCGAUACGAGCAAACUAGAGUGUUGCAGGGGAGACUGGAAUUCCUGGUGUAGCUGUGAAAUGCGCAGAUAUCAGGAGGAACACCGGUGGCGAAGGCGGGUUGCUGGGCCGACACUGACGCUGAUGCGCGAAAGCUAGGGGAGCGAACGGG
rnacentral:rRNA from 1 species